GCCCUUAGCUCAGCUGGAUAGAGCAACGGCCUUCUAAGCCGUAGGUCACAGGUUCGAAUCCUGUAGGGC
rnacentral:tRNA from 1 species